rnacentral:lncRNA from 1 species
CUGGCCCUUUUUUUUUUUUUUUUUUUUUCCAGAAAAGCAGGUUUAUUUCACAAAACUGUGGGUCUGAAAGCUGGUGGACAAGAAAGCUAGUUAUAUUGUCCAAGUCGUGGAGGAAUUGCAAUAGCUGCUUUAUUUUAUGAAAUGUUGAUUUAAGCAAAGAAGCUUUAGAGAAGAUUUAUUUUUCUAGAAAAAAACAACCUGACCUUUUAAGUUUUUCAGGUUGAACCUGUCUCACUCAAAUUAAGAACGUUUGUAGCUAAAGAAGGUUUAUUGGACUUGGAGGUUGCAGCUGGAGUGAGAUAACAUUUCGGUAUUAGGCAUAGUGAAUCUAUGGGUGUUGUAAGUGUUGGCUGUAUCCCAAGUGGAAUUGAAUGUUAUUAAACCCUUUCAAGAACUUCAUUUCUGUCUACCAACAGGUUUUUGCUACAAUCCAGUAGACUUGGGAAGUUUCUAAAUACUUGAAGUUGGUUAGUUCGAACUUUCAAGAAAAGGAAACAGUUAAAAACAGAGCUUGACAGGUCACCCAGGUGACCCGGUGUGUUAGGGGCAGUUUCAAAGACUGAUGUGAGGAGUAGUGGAAAGGGGUCAGUGAGUGAUACGGUCAUUGUGAAGCAUUGGCUGGACAGUUCUUUACAGCCCCCCUGCACAGCUGCAGGCUGUGAGGUAUGUGGUCAAGAAAUGGAGAUAAAGCUGUUUCUGAGUUCAAACACAGUAGGAAGGCUGCGAAAUGGCUGGCAUUGCCCGGCUGUGUUUGCAUCCUCUCUCUGCCAUUUGAGGGCAGUGGAUUCAGCAUGCAUCUUUGAAAUAUAUCCCAGCUUGUCAGAGCUUGAGCUUCUCCAAGCAAGGAUGUGUUUUAUUCCAUGCUGUGUCCCUCACACAGCACCUGGGACACAGGAGGUACACAGCGAGAACCGAAGUUUGGAGGUAGACGAGCAGGCGAGCGGUUUGCCCGGGCGCAGAGCAUGAAGGCCGGGCGGGCGCGGGGAGCGGCGCCCCGGCCCGGCGCGGGGGUGAGCGAGAGAGAGAGCGGAGCGCGUGUGGCCGGCGCCGCUCGGCCGGGAG